rnacentral:rRNA from 1 species
CCCUUAGAUGUUCUGGGCCGCACGCGCGCUACACUGACGAAGUCAGCGAGCAUGUCCUACGCCGACAGGUGCGGGGAAUCUUUUCAAACUUCGUCGUGAUGGGGAUUGAUUAUUGAAAUUCUUGAUCAUCAACGAGGAAUUCCUAGUAAGCGCAAGUCAGCAGCUUGCGUUGAUUACGUCCCUGCCCUUUGUACACACCGCCCGUCGCUACUACCGAUUGAAUGGUUUAGUGAGAUCUUCGGAUUGGCGCCACUGCGGCUCAGCAAUGGGCUCGGUGGAUGCCGAAAAGUUGAUCAAACUUGAUCAUUUAGAGGAAGUAAAAGUCGUAACA